GACGAACGCUGGCGGCGUGCCUAAUACAUGCAAGUAGGACGCAGUUGCGAACGGGUGAGUAACGCGUAGGUAACUGCCUAUUAGAGGGGGAUAACUAUUGGAAACGAUAGCUAAUACCGCAUACUAGUAGAUGGACCUGCGUUGUAUUAGCUAGUAGGUAGGGUAAUGGCCUCCCUAGGCGACGAUACAUAGCCGACCUGAUAGGGUGGUUGGCGACACUGGGCCGGAGACACGGCCCUAGCUCCGACGGGCGGCUGCAGGAGGGGAGCUUGGGCAAUGGGGGGACCCCUGACCGAGCGUCGCCGCGUUAGUGAAGACGGGUUUCGGCUCGUAAAGCUCUGUUGUUAAUGAAGCGGUACUUAACCAGAAAGGGACGGCUAACUACGUGCCAGCCGCCGCGUAAUAC
rnacentral:rRNA from 1 species